CUGUAACAAAUUGCUGUAGUUUCUACAGCAAAAUUUUACAGGAAAUUCCUGUUUUAACAUUUUACAAGAUUUUAGUGUAGUUCACAAUGCAUUAUGGGUAAAAGAAAGUAUUACAGCUGUUAACAGUAUAUUUUCAUUUAAACUGUAAUUGAAUUUACAGGCAGGAGGUGUUGCCACUGUAUAUCAUAUGUUUUUACAAAAAUUAAUUGUGAAAUGGCAUCAUGGGAUUGCGUGGGUGUAUUUACGUUUGAAAUGGACUUGAACACUGAAGAGUCAUCAUUCAAAAUUGUUGGUAAGUUCACGUAAAUCAUUCAAAAAUAGUACAGUAUUAAACUAAUAUAGUACUAUUAUGGUCAUUUAAAUAGUGAUAUCUGGUAUGCGACCGCUAUACCAGAUAUUAUUAACAUAACAGAUGUUAAUAAUUUGUAUUUCACAACAGCGUGUCAUUAAGACAUGUAGCAAAAUAUAAAAUUAAAUUCUUUACAUUAUUUUAAAUGUUACAUUUGGUAGUUAUGUGUCAUUAACUUUAUAACGUUUCAGAUGUUUGUUUCAGGCAUGAGCGAGGCAGCAAAAAGCGCGAGGGGUCCGUAACGGCUGGACUGCAUGGUGGCAAAGAGUGGUGGGGAGACGAAUCUUCGAACUUACAGGCACGAGACAGCAAAGAUUGCAACUCUUAACCUGAUAGGACUGGUGGUGUGAGACAAAUGAGAAAAGAUUAUUUUUAGGUGAAAUCCUCAAUGCAACUCAGUGGAUGCCGAGUAUGGACGGUCAGGUGGUUGUGAAUCCACACCCCAACCUUGUGGCUGGAUUUGCAGCUUUGUUCGCAUCAUACUACAACUUCAACCUGGUUUAUUAGGAGGAGGCAUCCUCCACACUUGAAUUUGUUCUAAGAUGUUUUGUUGGAAUCACACCUACCACUGGCAUCAAGACAGCCAAAACAAAGGUUGGAGGCAAAAAAGUGGAAACGCCUCUGAGAAGAGAAACAACACCAUCAACCCUCAUGUGUGUACUCUUUUCAGAAAAUUAUUGGACUUUGAAUGGUUACGCAUGUAAGUUCUUGUUCAUGUAUUAAGACCAAAACAUAUUGUAAAUAGGCCAGUUCUGUGAUUGAGCACUUGUGUUUCUAGACAUACAAGUUAUGUUAUGUUCUAACACAGAUUCAACAAGAUCUUAAAUGUAACACAAACCGUGUUUAGAUGUUUUAUAGAUGCCAUUGUUUUAGAAUAUUAAGGAUUGAGUGGAAUAUUUGCUGAAACAACAUAAUUUUUUUGAAAAUACUUUGCUGUCAGUUUUAAUAAAUGUUGUUCUUGAAGCACCUUUGACUUUGGUUGCAUUAUUCUGUAAAUUACAUUUAAUUCAGUUUUCAUUCUCAUGUAUUUACAGGAAUAGAUUUGGUAAAUAUAUUACAGUGUAAUAAUGUAGUAAAAAUUCUUUACAGCAUUUGAAUGUAAAACUAUUACAAUAUCAUCUUGGGUUUUGGGGAAUUUACAGGAUUUUAUUGGCAACUCUAGUUGCCAACUAUAUACUGUAAUUUAUUGGAAUUACAAAAAAAUACUGUAACUUAUAAUACAAGUAUAAUUCAUUAUAACUGUAAAAUAAACAACAAAGUACUGUAUUUUACAAACAACAAUUAGCUGUAAAUUGCUUUACAGUAUAAUGCUGCAGUCCAUUUUACAGCAAUUAAUAAUUUUUUUACAGAACUUUAUUGGCAACUUUUUUGCCAGCUAAAUCCUGUAAAUUCUACAGUCAAUUUUUUAC